rnacentral:rRNA from 1 species
AGUCGACGGGGAUGCAAUAUCCUAGUGGCGAACGGGUGAGUAACGCGUGAGUAACCUGCCUCAUACAACGGGAUACCCGAGGGAAACUUCGGUUAAUACGGUAUAAGACCACACUACCGCAUGGUAGAGGGGUAAAAGGGGCAACCUGGUAUGAGAUGGACUCGCGUCGCAUUAGCUAGUUGGUGAGGUAACGGCCCACCAAGGCGACGAUGCGUAGCCGACCUGAGAGGGUGAUCGGCCACAUUGGGACUGAGAUACGGCCCAGACUCCUACGGGAGGCAGCAGUGGGGAAUAUUGGGCAAUGGAGGAAACUCUGACCCAGCAAUGCCGCGUGAAUGAAGAAGGUCUUCGGAUUGUAAAGUUCUUUAGUCAGGGAAGAAGUCAAUGACGGUACCUGAAGAAUAAGCUCCGGCUAACUACGUGCCAGCAGCCGCGGUAAUACGUAGGGAGCAAGCGUUGUUCGGAAUGACUGGGCGUAAAGGGUGCGUAGGCGGUUGUACAAGUUAGAAGUGAAAUACCCAGGGCUUAACUCGGGUGCUGCUUCUAAAACUGUAUGACUUGAGUGCAGUAGAGGUUAGUGGAAUUCCUAGUGUAGCGGUGGAAUGCGUAGAUAUUAGGAGGAACACCAGUGGCGAAGGCGGUCUGCUGGACAGCAACUGACGCUGAGGCGCGAAAGCGUGGGGAGCAAACAGGAUUAGAUACCCUGGUAGUCCACGCUGUAAACGAUGGAUACUAGGUGUGGGGGGACUGACCCCCUCCGUGCCGCAGUUAACACAAUAAGUAUCCCACCUGGGGAGUACGAUCGCAAGGUUGAAAC